GAUGAACGCUGGCGGCGUGCCUAAUACAUGCGAGUCGAGCGAACAGACGAGGAGCUUGCUCCUCUGACGUUAGCGGCGGACGGGUGAGUAACACGUGGAUAACCUACCUAUAAGACUGGGAUAACUUCGGGAAACCGGAGCUAAUACCGGAUAAUAUAUUGAACCGCAUGGUUCAAUAGUAAAAGACGGUUUUGCUGUCACUUAUAGAUGGAUCCGCGCCGCAUUAGCUAGUUGGUAAGGUAACGGCUUACCAAGGCAACGAUGCGUAGCCGACCUGAGAGGGUGAUCGGCCACACUGGAACUGAGACACGGUCCAGACUCCUACGGGAGGCAGCAGUAGGGAAUCUUCCGCAAUGGGCGAAAGCCUGACGGAGCAACGCCGCGUGAGUGAUGAAGGUCUUCGGAUCGUAAAACUCUGUUAUUAGGGAAGAACAAAUGUGUAAGUAACUAUGCACGUCUUGACGGUACCUAAUCAGAAAGCCACGGCUAACUACGUG
rnacentral:rRNA from 1 species